UACGUAGGGUGCAAGCGUUAUCCGGAAUUAUUGGGCGUAAAGAGCUCGUAGGCGGUUCGUCGCGUCGGCUGUGAAAACCCGGAGCUCAACUCCGGGCCUGCAGUCGAUACGGGCGGACUUGAGUGUUGCAGGGGAGACUGGAAUUCCUGGUGUAGCGGUGAAAUGCGCAGAUAUCAGGAGGAACACCGGUGGCGAAGGCGGGUCUCUGGGCCGUAACUGACGCUGAGGAGCGAAAGCAUGGGGAGCGAACAGG
rnacentral:rRNA from 1 species